rnacentral:lncRNA from 1 species
CUGUAAGGCAGGCAACAUCACCCACUGUCUUCCAUCUCACUGGCACCAUCAGCCACAGAGGGAUGCCUCCGUGUAAGAAGAAGUCACUGCCACACACCAGGCUCCCCAGACUGGCCACUCACAGUGGUGGCCACGUGUCCCUGACACACAGGAGCUCACGGCUUGGGACACACAGGGGGACGCAGUGCCUGCACCACAUCGUAGACCCACAGCCAGAGAUGACACUUCACCAAGGCAUGAAGGUGGACACUGGCCCCUUCCGACUUGGGUGGACUCCACCUCAAGAUUUGCCCAGACAGGACCCCACCUGCCACUUCCCUCAGCAGCCGCAGCUCGGUCUCUCCCAGCUCAUGGUGAAGCCUCACAUGGCCAUGGCCAGUCCCUGCCGCUGACCCAGGUGUGGGUGAGAGAAGCCGUCCCUGCUGUUGGUUCCUGUGACCAGUGUGGGCCCGUGUACAUAUGUGAGUGCCCACCCCAGGAUGUAAUAGGCCCCCAGGGUGGCGAAUGGCCUCCGGGGAUGGCCCAGCAGGAGAGGAGAUUGUCCCCAGCCCUGGUUGUGUGUGCUUACCACCCUGCUGAGUCCCACAUAUCCUCUGCCUCCUUCCCCCACCUCCUUCCUCCUAACAGCUGAAGGAGGCUGAAGGCCUCUGGGACCAGCAGACACCUAAAGAUUGAGAGGGUUCCAUGGCUAUUGGAGGCAGCCAGAGCCUGGCAAGAGUCCAGUGUGCACUCAUAAGGGCCUGGGGAUGGAGUGGGCAUGUGCUGCCUGGGAGGGGGCAGUGGCAGAGGUGAGGGAGAAGAGGGGGUGACGGGGCAUGAAAAGAGAGCUGUGUAGCAUGACGUUACAAAUUUCCAUGCUGCAUAUAUGGUGGACAUGCUCAUUUCUGUCACCCUGGGGACACGGAAAUGCCUGUGUGCACAGCUAUAAGCUCAGGUCUGCAUAUGUAUAUUGAUGCCUCUAUUUUGAAUGGAUUCACAUGUACUUGUGUCAUUAAUUUAUGGUGUCAAAUAUUUACUGAAGGCUAACCAUGCCAUUCCAUGGCCACUAUUUAGGUACUAAAAUAUAACGGGAAGCUAGGCACAGUGGCACAUGUCUGUAAUCCCAGCACUCUGGGAUGGUGAGGCAGGAGGAUUGCAAAUUCAAGCCUAGCCUGGGCAAUUUAGUGAGAUCUUGUCUCAAAAUAAGAAAUAGAAAAUAAAAAGGGCUGGAGAUGUAGGUUUGUGUAAAGGCCCAGGGUUCAAUACCCAGUACUGAAAAAAAAAAGACACAGUGGGGG